UGACUCCUUGAGAGUCCUGAAGGAACGUUGAAGACGACGACGUUGAUAGGCCGAGUGUGUAAGCGCAGCGAUGCGUUGAGCUAACCGGUACUAAUGAACCGUGAGGCUUAACCUU
rnacentral:rRNA from 1 species